UAAUUUGACAGCAAUUGUUAUAAAGAAUAACACUAGUUUUUAGCUUUAAAAAAAGGUAUAUUAGUAUUCUGUGCACAUGAAAUAGGGAUGGCGAUAUGGGGAGCUGGUAUGGGCAGAGGGACAGUGGCGGACAAAAGCGUUUUGCUUAGACACAAAAGCUUUGAAUGCCCUCGGGGCAGCCAUUAGCCUAAUAACGCCAUGCACCAACACACAGGCCGACGCACUGACACGCACACUCGUCCACAAACACACCAACCGCAUAUACCAGACUCCUCCACUUAUGCUAGCAAAACUACUCAUCAGGCACAGUGGAAAACAGAGCACAAAAGUGGACAACCAAUAUAUUGGUAGAAUAGUAACGAUUUCCUCGGAAGAAUCACGGACCCAUUGCCUCGCAUUGCGUUUCUGGGCGGCUGUCACGUGUGCAGCCCUGCCACAGUCCUGGCAACAACAACGACAAUAAUGCCACAAUAGUUGCAACAAACAGUGGGUGACAGACACGGGACUGGGAGGAGACUGAGAUGGACAGACAGAGCGACAGCGUGAUGAACGUCGCCCCAGCUUCGUUACAAUUAACAUAAAUAAUAGCCAAGUGGUCGCUUGCUGUCGUUGUUCUCGUUAUGCUCUUUGUUCCUGAUGUGGUUGUUGCUACUGUUACGCUUAUUGUUGUUGUUGCUGAAAAGUGGAAAUAUAUUUUUCACUUUUCAUUUCUAAUUAUGACGCCUGGGACAUGCUCCAAAUGCCACAAACAAAAUGUUUUGUUUUCUGCAUUUUGUUGUGCGGUCACAGAGUGAAAGAUUAUUGAGCAAGUUUUCUGGUAUUUUGAGCACAACUUAUGGUGCAAAAAUUGAAUUGAAUUGGGUACUCAGGAGGCAGAAAGGCUCUGCACCAGAAGCGGGUCCAAGUCGGAGUUUCUCGUGCCAACUUCCUACCAACCGAGCGGGCUAAAGGAGCGAUUAGGGAGGGCCAGGACAUCGGGCCAGAGGAGCGGAGGAGCUAAGGAAGUCGCAGACUGUGCGGACGAAAACUUUUAUGCUUUUACACUCAACUUCCGUUCCACACACAAAAUUUGUUUAAUUAAAAUUUU